rnacentral:rRNA from 1 species
CAGCAGCCGCGGUAAUGCGUAGGUCCCGAGCGUUGUCCGGAUUUAUUGGGCGUAAAGCGAGCGCAGGCGGUUAGAUAAGUCUGAAGUUAAAGGCUGUGGCUUAACCAUAGUACGCUUUGGAAACUGUUUAACUUGAGUGCAAGAGGGGAGAGUGGAAUUCCAUGUGUAGCGGUGAAAUGCGUAGAUAUAUGGAGGAACACCGGUGGCGAAAGCGGCUCUCUGGCUUGUAACUGACGCUGAGGCUCGAAAGCGUGGGGAGCAAACAGGAUUAGAGACCCCCGUAGUCCCUGUCUCUUAUACA